AUUGAACGCUGGCGGCAUGCCUAACACAUGCAAGUCGAACGAGUGGCGGACGGGUGAGUAAUGUCUGGGAAACUGCCUGAUGGAGGGGUAUGACUACUGGAAACGGUAGCUACUACCGCCUACCAUCGGAUGUGCCCAGAGGGGAUUAGCUAGUAGGUGGGGUAAAGGCUCACCUAGGCGACGAUCCCUAGCUGGUCUGAGAGGAUGACCAGCCACACUGGAACUGAGACACGGCCCAGACUCCUACGGGAGGCAGCAGUGGGGAAUAUUGCACAAUGGGCGCAAGCCUGAUGCAGCAAUGCCGCGUGUAUGAAGAAGGCCUUCGGGUUGUAAAGUACUUUCAUCGGGGAGGCGUUACCCGCAGAAGAAGCAACGGCUAACUACGUGCCAGCAGCCGCGGUAAUUC
rnacentral:rRNA from 1 species